rnacentral:rRNA from 1 species
AGUGAACGCUGGCGGUAGGCCUAACACAUGCAGGUCGAACGGCAGCACAGUAAGAGCCUGCUCUUACGGGUGGCGAGUGGCGGACGGGUGAGGAAUACAUCGGAAUCUACUUUUUCGUGGGGGAUAACGUAGGGAAACUUACGCUAAUACCGCAUACGACCUACGGGUGAAAGCAGGGGAUCUUCGGACCUUGCGCGAUUGAAUGAGCCGAUGUCGGAUUAGCUAGUUGGCGGGGUAAAGGCCCACCAAGGCGACGAUCCGUAGCUGGUCUGAGAGGAUGAUCAGCCACACUGGAACUGAGACACGGUCCAGACUCCUACGGGAGGCAGCAGUGGGGAAUAUUGGACAAUGGGCGCAAGCCUGAUCCAGCCAUACCGCGUGGGUGAAGAAGGCCUUCGGGUUGUAAAGCCCUUUUGUUGGGAAAGAAAAGCAGCAGGUUAAUACCCCGCUGUUCUGACGGUACCCAAAGAAUAAGCACCGGCUAACUUCGUG